CCUUACCAGGUCUUGACAUCCCGAUGCUAUUUCUAGAGAUAGAAAGUACUUCGGUACAUCGGUGACAGGUGGUGCAUGGUUGUCGUCAGCUCGUGUCGUGAGAUGUUGGGUUAAGUCCCGCAACGAGCGCAACCCCUAUUGUUAGUUGCCAUCAUUCAGUUGGGCACUCUAGCGAGACUGCCGGUAAUAAACCGGAGGAAGUGGGGAUGACGUCAAAUCAUCAUGCCCCUUAUGACCUGGGCUACACACGUGCUACAAUGGUUGGUACAACGAGUUGCGAGUCGGUGACGGCGAGCUAAUCUCUUAAAGCCAAUCUCAGUUCGGAUUGUAGGCUGCAACUCGCCUACAUGAAGUCGGAAUCGCUAGUAAUCGCGGAUCAGCACGCCGCGGUGAAUACGUUCCCGGGCCUU
rnacentral:rRNA from 1 species